rnacentral:lncRNA from 1 species
GGCUUCGAAGGCUCGAGAAUGGAGGCCAUGCGUAUAGGCUCCUCGAGAAGCAAGUGAUGAGAAUGCAUCUUGAGCGAGAGAGAGAGGGAGAGGGAGAGAGAGAGAGAGCAGGUGGUGAAUAUGUGUGUGUGAAUGUGUGUUUUUGGACAGAAAUUUGGUUGUUAUGAAUUUAUGAUGUGUGUAUACUGGAUAAUUAUAAAAAGAGGGGGUUUAAUAUAUUUUAAAUAUGGAAUCUUUUUAGCAUCUGGAUUGGUUUAUUGAGAUAUAGUAAAAGCAGUGCUAUCCGUAUCUUGGUUUAUUAAAACAAAUUAUUAAUCUUUAUAAAAAUUUCAUUAAUUUAGUAAUUAUAGUUUAAUUUAAUUAAAAUAUUGAUCUAUUUAAAAUUUCUCGAUAAAUAUUGUUUAAAAUCAACUGAUAAAUUCUGAUUUUUGACUUUGACAAUAAUAAUAAUAAUAAUAAUAAUAAUAAUAUGAAUUAUUGGGCAAGUUAUCUUGAUUAUUCUUAUUUUUUACUACGAAAUUUUGUAAUAAAAUCAUUUAAUUUUAUACUAAAUUAUAAGUAGAAGUUCACGUAUAAUUGUAAGUUAUUAAUUAUUAUUGAAUAAUUUAUCAUCAUAUGUAAACUAGGGCUAGCACGCGAGUGUGUUUUAUUGAAAAAAAUGUAAACUAUUUUUCCUUUUUUUUUCCAAUAAUGAGAAAAUAAAAAGUUAUAUAUUAUGUCAAUUGGAAGAUUAAUUAAUAUAAUGCACAUGUACUAUUUAAAGUUGCUUACAUCACAUUUAUAUACUAUACAAUUAUUUAUAUAAUAAAGUUUUAAAUAUUUUUAAUUCAGUUUUAUAUAAAAACUGUAGUCUCCAAAUUUUUUGAAGAACGCUGAAUAAUACAAUUAUCAGUUUCAAAAGAAUGAUUUGUUUGGAUAUUUUAUAAGCCAAUACAAUUUUGUUUUCAAAGCUUUAACUUUAAAAAAGAAUAUAUGUUUCAAAUUAUUAUUUAACGAUUAUAAGAGUUUGUUAUCCAAAAAUGUAAGCGAUACACGUCUAUAUAAUAAGUAUAUUUAUAACUAAAAAUGAUUAGUCCUUGAAAAAAUCACAUAAAAGAAAGUAUAAAUUAGAAGUGUUUGAUGGUAUUAGAAAGCUGAAAUCCAAAUCUGAAUCAGAUGGUUUCUGGAUUAAAGAAAACAAGUGGCGAUGUGACUCUUUUAAUACUGUAAACUUUCUUUCACGGUUUCAACUUUAUACUUCUGCUGACUAUUUUUCACUUAAAAUACACCUCAAUCAUUGGAAUGGUUACCCUUUCGUCAACUAAACUAUUGGGACAAUAAAUAAAAUAAAUUAUAUGAAAAUUAUCCCCUAACAAUAAUUCGUUGUUUUGAUUGACUAUAGUUAAAAUUAGUACAAUAAUUAAUCAUUUUAAUAUAUAAUAUACAUAUUUAAGCUUUACAUGGAACAAAAUAGAUUACAAUUGUGCUUAGCAAAAAAAAAGUAAUUAUUAAGUUGAAAUUGAUCCUUACUGAGCAGUUCGUAAUAUGUUACUCCCUCUAUCUCCUAGGUAGUUUUUGUAGGGAGAGUUCGGCACUCUUAAAAAAACAUAGUUCCGUAUCUUAUUUUUUUUUUAUUUUUUUUGCUUUUGAAUAAAAAUUUGGUGUUGACUUUUUAUACAUAAAAAAAAUUUAAAAGUAAGUUAUGAAAUUAUGUUUUAUAAAAACUUUAAAAUGCGUGUUAAACUGUAAAUAAAUAAGAGGGACGGAAAAAUUAGUUCUUAAUACGGUCUAAUUUUGAUUUUUCGCAUCAUGCCUAGUGUUACAACUGCACCCUGCACCCGUAGUGAUGCUGCGAUAACUUUAUUGUAAUUGAUUUAAGGGGGAAAGAAUUAAUAAGAUUGACGGUUCUAGAUGAAGGCGGGCGGACCAGAGGAGCAUUUUAUGAGAGAGAAUUGUCAAGAAAAGGAGAGAAUGAAUUUCAAAGUUACGGAAGAAUGCAGUCCACCGGAAGUUGUAAACAAGGGGAAGAAGAGAUGAUCAUGCAAAAAAAAAAAAAANUCAAAGGUUUUAGGAUAUAUUCCAUGUAUGACACCCACUUCAUAAGUAUCAGGAUCACUGCCCAAUGUAGGAUGUUUUAUGGUCCUUAGGGGAUCGAUAUCUGCAUUGCUUCUAAAGUAGAGGACUUCACUUUCAAUAAGUAUGUAUAUCUCUCGGGAUUUCAGACAGGGAAGAGACUAAUAUAGGGAGAAAUAUAAAGAGAACGGUGUAAAUUAGGAAAAUAAAGAGACUAAAAAGAUAUUGGAUACAGAAUCAGAAAGCGUGAGUGUCCGUGGAAGCUCGAUGAGAUUCUAACUUUCUGCUUUAGCAAUGCUUACAUGUAAUAUACUUAUCUGUACUAUUUAAGAAUGAAGAAGACAGCUCCAAUAUUGCACCCUUAUAAUUAAUCAACAGUUAACCUGUAAGUGCUUGACAAGGAUAUUAUAACCGAUAUUGGCCUAUACAAAAAAAAAACUGAUGUAAUAAUUCAGCAGACUAACGUCAGUGGAUUAGUUACUAUUCUAACAAUUACAGUCCUGUUCUUUAAGAUCUUAUCAUGCAUAGCUUUGUAUUCAAUAAUGAGUCUAAAAUCUGGAACUCUUCUGUCAAAGUAACAGUACUGACCACAUCAUAGUAGUUAUGCUGAGUGUAGCUAAUACUACAAAUAUCAAGUGAACAUAUAUUUUUUUUUCAAAUGUUAGUCUCAAAUAAUUAAAACAGAUCUAUAAAGCCUUAUAUUUAAUAAUGAUAAACCAGCUAGGUGGUUAUCUUAAAAAUCCCAAGUCCACACUCAACAUAUAAACAGGCCUUUAUACUACUCUACCAAGUACAAUGCCCAGUGCCUUAUAAUUAUUUCAAGGGAAUCUGGAAGUUAAUUGUUAUUAGACAGCAAAAUAAUAAAAUAAGUGAAUAGCUAUACAUUUAUAUCGCAUGCCCGUCUAAAUUGUUAUUAAAGAAAUAAAAUUCCACCCAACAGACAUACUACGCGUUUUUUUUAAAAGCAAAGCUAUUCUGUGUUGACACCACAAAUUGACAAAGUCUAUUUAACUUCUACCAGAAAUAGUUGUCAGGAAACUCAGUAUUAAAAGUAUUUUGUUCUGUCAUAUGCACCAUCCUCGUUCUUUAAUGUCAAAGCAAAGCUGAUUCUGUUUUACGCUUCCAACUACUCAUAAUUACAACGUACGAGUUAUGCUUCACAGUCACACCCUAUCAUAUACCCAUGCUUCGAGAGGUUGUGUAUGCAUGAUGAAAUUGAUGUGAAUUCGAUUAUUUGCGAAAUGAUCAGAAAUAUUAAGAAGGAAAAUUCAACCUUUGAUAACCCAUGAAAAUUUAUUGGCAACAGACUUGGAGUAGCAUCUUUGUCCUCGUCAGGUGUGAGUACCACUAAUGAAUCCGCCUGAAGGGAUAUCGGAUGCUCUGUUUUAUUGACAACUUGCAGUUCCGGACCAACAGUGUCUAGCAUAACCUUAAAUGUUUAGAAUUCAUAUAGAGAUAUUAAUCCUUAAACACAUAGAACAAGCUUUUAAAGGAGUAAACUGCAUAAUAUUGACUAAACUAUGUAAGAACAAAAUAUACUACAAACUUACAGCACACAGCUUCUUUGUACUUUUGAUUGCCACCUUCAGGUUUUCUAAUGUUUCCUGGUGAAACUCAGUGUCACCCCAUGAAAAAUCAAACCGUGCAACUACAAGAGGAACAUAAGUAGUCUAAUCAAUGAUACACGAAAUUAUGAUAUAAUAUUAUAUACAGUUUGUUGUUAAAUCAGUUGCAACAGGGAAAUACUAUGCUGCCAGAGUCAAAUUUGGGAACACAGUUACAGUCUUAUUAAUUCACUAAAAUCUAUAAGGUAAAACCAUGAAACCACAAACCAAUGACAGCACUUGUUAAUCUCCAUUUACAAGUAAAACUCUGCAUUUAACUUUAAACUCUCAAAAUGAAUAAUUUAAUGUAUACUUUCUACUCCAUGCGAUAAUUUCCGUAUAUAUAUAAAUUUUAACUUUAAACUCUCAAAAUAUAUAAUUUAAUGUAUACUUUCUACUCCAUGCGAUAAUUUCCGUGUGUGAGAGAGCUACUGUAUGACUAAAGACAUUCCUCGCCUGAUCUAUACUUUAAAGUUUUAACAACUGAAUACAGUAGUAACCUAUAAUAGACAUGCACACUCAGCGUCACUAAAUCACAAGUCAAAUAAACAACAUGUACAAAUAAAUUAACCUUCCAAUCUGUAAAAGAGAGACUUACCACUUCAGAUAAUACACUCUUGCUUGAUCUAUUACUUUUAGAAACUCAAUACAGAGUACUAAAUUACUAAUCUAGUGUACACUCACACACACACACACUCAUGUACACACACCAUUAGCGCUACCAAGGCACAUAUCAAACAAACAGCAUAUCACAAAAAAUAAAUAAAUGAGUUUUAAAUCCGUAAACUAGCGAGUAUGACUAGAGACAAUCGACUAGUUAAUUCAUACUAUUAAAACCACGAUACCGUAUCGUAAAUGAUAGAGCUAGCCACGGAAACAACAGAUACAGGAAACAAGUAUUUCUAAUUCCGAAAGUAUACACUUAACUUGAUCCGUACUUUCUACUCGACACAGUAGUAGUCUAAUCUACAACAAUAGACAAACACUGUAACACUGCAUAAUUGAAUCGCAAGCACAAGAAAUUAAAAAAAUUAGAAAAAUGAUUAAAAAAAAUUAGUUACCUGACAUUCCAGCAUUUAAGCAACCAGAAAUAACAUCGACCGAUCGAGAGUUAGGGCCGAGUGUUCCGACGAUCUUCGACAUAGCAGGAAAAAAGUUCUACAAAUAAUCAUGUCAACACAACAUCAACUUAAUUAGUGUUGAAAUCAAGUCAAUAAAAGUCAAGCUUAAGUUGAAUUGAGAUCUUAGCCAAAGUGAUGGAGUGGAGAUGAUGUGAACUUACAGGCUUCGAAGGCUCGAGAAUGGAGGCCAUGCGUAUAGGCUCCUCGAGAAGCAAGUGAUGAGAAUGCAUCUUGAGCGAGAGAGAGAGGGAGAGGGAGAGAGAGAGAGAGCAGGUGGUGAAUAUGUGUGUGUGAAUGUGUGUUUUUGGACAGAAAUUUGGUUGUUAUGAAUUUAUGAUGUGUGUAUACUGGAUAAUUAUAAAAAGAGGGGGUUUAAUAUAUUUUAAAUAUGGAAUCUUUUUAGCAUCUGGAUUGGUUUAUUGAGAUAUAGUAAAAGCAGUGCUAUCC